rnacentral:tRNA from 1 species
UGCGGGGAUGGUGUAAUGGCAACACCUCAGUCUCCAAAGCUGAUGUUCUGGGUUCAAAUCCUAGUCUCCGCGU